rnacentral:rRNA from 1 species
GACGAACGCUGGCGGCGUGCUUAACACAUGCAAGUCGAACGGAAAGGCCCUGCUGUUGUGGGGUGCUCGAGUGGCGAACGGGUGAGUAACACGUGAGUAACCUGCCCUUGACUUUGGGAUAACUUCAGGAAACUGGGGCUAAUACCGGAUAGGAGCUCCUGCUGCAUGGUGGGGGUUGGAAAGUUUCGGCGGUUGGGGAUGGACUCGCGGCUUAUCAGCUUGUUGGUGGGGUAGUGGCUUACCAAGGCGUUGACGGGUAGCCGGCCUGAGAGGGUGACCGGCCACAUUGGGACUGAGAUACGGCCCAGACUCCUACGGGAGGCAGCAGUGGGGAAUAUUGCACAAUGGGCGGAAGCCUGAUGCAGCAACGCCGCGUGCGGGAUGACGGCCUUCGGGUUGUAAACCGCUUUCGCCUGUGACGAAGCGUGAGUGACGGUAAUGGGUAAAGAAGCACCGGCUAACUACGUG